GUAAUUACAUUACACAAGUAAAAUCUACUUUUUGAACUUGUUGCUCUGAGUUUCUUCUUCCUUAUUUCUAAUAGCCUCCUAAAUUCCAAUCCAUUCCUCCCAAAAUCAUUUAUCCCUCCUAGAAAACCCCUUCAUAUGGCCAUUCUCGAGCCCAGUGAUUCUCAAAAGAUUUGGAUGAACCCUGGUAAUCAUUUGCAUGAGGUUUGGAGUUUUCUUUUCUUCCUUCUAAGACUUUUUCCCCUGGAAUGCAUUUCUAGUUGGGAUUAAAUACAAAAUGUCUUAACUCUUCCUCCACAGCUAAAGGAAAUCAAUUUUAAAAAGUGUUUCAAGAGUGCUUUAAAAAGUACACAAAAUAUAUUCCCUUUGAACCAGACGCCUGGGACAUACAGGGCAAAAGA
rnacentral:lncRNA from 1 species